rnacentral:rRNA from 1 species
UCGAGCGGACAGAUGGGAGCUUGCUCCCUGAUGUUAGCGGCGGACGGGUGAGUAACACGUGGGUAACCUGCCUGUAAGACUGGGAUAACUCCGGGAAACCGGGGCUAAUACCGGAUGCUUGUUUGAACCGCAUGGUUCAAACAUAAAAGGUGGCUUCGGCUACCACUUACAGAUGGACCCGCGGCGCAUUAGCUAGUUGGUGAGGUAACGGCUCACCAAGGCAACGAUGCGUAGCCGACCUGAGAGGGUGAUCGGCCACACUGGGACUGAGACACGGCCCAGACUCCUACGGGAGGCAGCAGUAGGGAAUCUUCCGCAAUGGACGAAAGUCUGACGGAGCAACGCCGCGUGAGUGAUGAAGGUUUUCGGAUCGUAAAGCUCUGUUGUUAGGGAAGAACAAGUACCGUUCGAAUAGGGCGGUACCUUGACGGUACCUAACCAGAAAGCCACGGCUAACUACGUGCCAGCAGCCGCGGUAAUACGUAGGUGGCAAGCGUUGUCCGGAAUUAUUGGGCGUAAAGGGCUCGCAGGCGGUUCCUUAAGUCUGAUGUGAAAGCCCCCGGCUCAACCGGGGAGGGUCAUUGGAAACUGGGGAACUUGAGUGCAGAAGAGGAGAGUGGAAUUCCACGUGUAGCGGUGAAAUGCGUAGAGAUGUGGAGGAACACCAGUGGCGAAGGCGACUCUCUGGUCUGUAACUGACGCUGAGGAGCGAAAGCGUGGGGAGCGAACAGGAUUAGAUA